rnacentral:ncRNA from 3 species
UCGUUCGUCUGACUUGGGUAUAGGGGCGAA